rnacentral:rRNA from 1 species
UACGAAGGAUGCAAGCGUUAUCCGGAUUCAUUGGGUUUAAAGGGAGCGUAGGUGGCCUUAUAAGUCAGUGGUGAAAUCUCUGGGCUUAACCCAGAAAUUGCCAUUGAUACUGUAGGGCUUGAGUAUAGUUGCCGUUGGCGGAAUAUGACAUGUAGUGGUGAAAUACAUAGAGAUGUCAUAGAACACCGAUUGCGAAGGCAGCUGACGAAAACUAUAACUGACACUGAGGCUCGAAAGUGCGGGGAUCAAACAGG